rnacentral:lncRNA from 10 species
CGGGUGUCCAGUGUGGCAUUUCAGGAGCUUGGAGAAAGAGGAUAGAGAAGAGCCCUACAGCUGCAUAACCUCCUGAGAGAGGGCUUCUUUAGUUUGCAAUGGAGAACUGGAGAUGGUGCUCAUUCACAGAUAUCUAACACUCGGAACCGGAAGACAGUAAAGGUCAUAAAUGAUGUACCUUUUACAUCUGGCAGAGGGCCAGGACAGUUCUGGGGUUCAUAUUUCUCUCCUUCUCUACUCUGAGGUUUAUACGGCCCCCCCACCGCCCCCAAGGGGAAGCCAUUCUGUGAACUGUCCUAUGGAGAGGCCAGCUUGGGGAGGAAUUGAUGUCUUCUAUCAGGAACCAUGAGAGUGAGCUUAGAAGUGGAUCCUGCCCCCUCAGUGAAUCCUGCGGCUCCAAGUGACAGCUUGACUGCAACAUCAUCUGAGACCCUAAGCAGGAGCCACCUUGCUUGGCCAGUCCUGGAUCCCUGAACCCUCG